rnacentral:misc_RNA from 1 species
AAGAGUUCUAUAACUCCUAAACCCAUGUGAACAUACCUUACGUUGCCUCGGCAGGUCGCGCCUACCCUGUAAGACCUACCCGGUAGACGCGGGUAAGCCUGCCGGCGGCCCAAGAAACUCUGUUUAGUAUUGAAUUCUGAACCUAUAACUAAAUAAGUUA